rnacentral:rRNA from 1 species
ACCUACGGGGCGCAGCAGUGGGGAAUAUUGGGCAAUGGGCGCAAGCCUGACCCAGCAACGCCGCGUGAAGGAAGAAGGCCCUCGGGUUGUAAACUUCUUUUAUUCGGGACGAAACAAAUGACGGUACCGAAUGAAUAAGCCACGGCUAACUACGUGCCAGCAGCCGCGGUAAUACGUAGGUGGCAAGCGUUAUCCGGAUUUACUGGGUGUAAAGGGUGUGUAGGCGGUGUAGCAAGUUAGAAGUGAAAUACCUAGAGCUUAACUCAGGUGCUGCUUCUAAAACUGCUAUACUUGAGUGCAGUAGG